GUGGGGAAUUUUUCGCAAUGGGGGAAACCCUGACGAAGCAACGCCGCGUGGAGGAUGAAGGCCUUCGGGUCGUAAACUCCUGUCGAUCGGGACGAACGUGGUCGGGUCCAAUACACCCGGCUAUCGACUGUACCGGUAAAGGAAGCUCCGGCUAACUCUGUGCCAGCAGCCGCGGUAAUACAGAGGGAGCAAGCGUUGUUCGGAAUUACUGGGCGUAAAGGGCGCGUAGGCGGUUCGAUAAGUCCCGUGUGAAAUCCCUCGGCUCAACUGAGGAAUGGCACGGGAAACUGACGGGCUUGAGUUCGGGAGAGGGAAGCGGAAUUCCGGGUGUAGCGGUGAAAUGCGUAGAUAUCCGGAGGAACACCGGUGGCGAAGGCGGCUUCCUGGACCGACACUGACGCUGAGGCGCGAAAGCUAGGGGAGCAAACGGGAUUAGAAACCCGUGUAGUCC
rnacentral:rRNA from 1 species